rnacentral:ncRNA from 1 species
CCCCCUGCGGACGGCUCUGACGCGCGGUCCAGGCAUCGGUCGCCGGGACGGCGCCGAGCUGCCGGCGAGACCGAUCCGUGGCGUG